rnacentral:rRNA from 1 species
CUACGGGUCGCACCAGUAAGGAAUAUUGCGCAAUGGAGGCAACUCUGACGCAGCCAUGCCGCGUGCAGGAAGAAGGCCUUAUGGGUCGUAAACUGCUUUUAUUUAGGAAUAAACCCCCGAACGUGUUCGGGGCUGAAGGUACUAAACGAAUAAGCACCGGCUAACUCCGUGCCAGCAGCCGCGGUAAUACGGAGGGUGCAAGCGUUAUCCGGAUUUAUUGGGUUUAAAGGGUGCGCAGGCGGGCUAUUAAGUCAGUGGUGAAAUCCCGGGGCUCAACUCCGGAACUGCCAUUGAUACUGAUAGUCUUGAGUUUGGUUGAAGUGGGCGGAAUGUAGCAUGUAGCGGUGAAAUGCAUAGAUAUGCUACAGAACACCAAUCGCGAAGACAGCUCACUAAGCCAAAACUGACGCUCAUGCACGAAAGCGUGGGGAUCAAACAGGAUUAGAACCCGAGUAGUC